ensembl:processed_transcript
AUGCUCAGCUCAGAGCGAAGUGUGGUUGAGGAAUGGCUCUCGGAGUUCAAGGCGUUACCUGACGAGCAGAUCCACCGCUAUUCUGGCAGUCUGCGUCUGAAGAAAGCUCUGGUUCCUGCUCUCUAUGCUGUUAUUCAGGAGCAGCCCAGCAGUGAGCUGCUGGCUCCAGUGUGUCAUCAGUUGUUUGAGUUGUACCGGAGCUCAGAGGAGGGUUUGCGGCGCUUCACACUGCAGUUCCUGCCUGAACUCAUCUGGGUGUACUUGAGUCAUUCAGCCAGCAGAGAGCGAUACCGCAAUGGCUGUGUGGAGGCCCUGCUGUUGGGGAUCUAUAACCUGGAAAUUGUGGACGGUAAAGGAUAUAGCAAGCUGCUGUCAUUCACCAUCCCUUCCCUUUCCAAGCCUUCAAUAUACCAUGAGCCAUCCAGCCUGGGGUCCAUGGCGCUGACUGAAGGAGCCCUGAACCAACAUGACCUCAUUCGGGUGGUGUACAGCGGUCUGCUGUCUCAGCGAGAGACUUUCACCUCACAGAACAGGUUUGAGGUGCUGUCAUUUCUAAUGCUCUGCUACAACUCAGCCGUGGUCUUCAUGCCUGCGUCGUCCCACCAAUCGGCUUGCAGAAUGAGCACACGGCUGUGUGUGAGCGGAUACCCACGACAGCAGAUGAAGUCCUGGAAGGAGCCUUGUAACCGUGUGCGGUUGGAGCCAGAGUUUAUGGUGCAGAUGCUGAGUGCCGUUUACUAUGCCAUUUAUAAUGGCCAGUGGGACCUGGGGAGAGAAGCUUUGGAUGACAUCCUCUACCGAGCACAGCUAGACCUCCAUGCCCAACCAUUACUGGUGGCAAAUGCAAUUAGCCGCUCUCUUCCAUCCCGUCCUCCAGAGGGCUCACGGAAUCUUCUGGAGGUGGAAGUAACACCUGCUGGGAGAUAUGCAGACGGCGUGAGCUGUGGCGAGGACUCUUUUGACCCAGAUGAAGGCUUUUCCUCUGGGGCUUCCAGCAGCAGUCAGCCUAGCAGUGUGAAACGUGACUGGAUCAUCACCGGCGUUCGACCUUCCAGAGAGCCAGGAGCCAGACACAGGGAGAGCACGUCCGCGGACACCCGAGCCGCCCUGAGAAGCCUCCACCAACGCCACCAAUCCCCUCCUCCAGCCGUCAGCCUCCGGACUGCAGAAUGCAGCCGCAGUCCCAGUCCCAGCGCUCCCAGACGCUUUCUAGACCCGCAUUACAUCCCUCCGUUCGCUGGUGCUCCUCCCAAAGCCAGCAGCACAUCUUCUAGCAAGUCUCUUGACUGUACCGGCCUCAACGGCUCAUCAGGACCCACAGAUAGCCUAUCGCUGGGAAGCCUCAGUGCGGACAGGGCUCACUAUCUGUCCGCCAUCAGCCUGCAGGAGGAGCGUCUAGGCCGAUCGGCACGCAGCCAGGAUCUCCUUUCCCCGGGGAGUCCGUUUUCCUCUGGAAGCCCAUUGUCCAAACAGUCCAGAUCACCCAGUUUUAAUAUGCAGAUUAUAUCACAGGUGUAG